rnacentral:lncRNA from 1 species
UGUAUUCGCUUCUUUCGGAAUUGUUGGGACAGACAGAGAAAGGGAGGAUGGACAAGACAAAAGAGGAGUGGGUUUAAACAGGACAACAGAGAGAAAUGAAGAAAGAGAGUAAGUAGUCAAAGGUACGCUGAUGUCAGCCACUUUACUUUACUCUGAAUUUUGUAUAUUUUUAAUAAAAUAAAAAAUAAAAAAUAUUCUCUACUACUUGGUUCUUGGCUGUUUGCCUGAUAUUCUUUCAAAGUAAAGCUCUUCGUGAUAUAAUUCGGUAAAUUUCUUGUCUACAUUUGGUGCAAUGCUAUCCACACUUUUUUUUUUAUUUCUCACACAUCUCUUGUUAAUUUAUGUCUAUUGAUCUUCUUCAUUUCGUCUAAUCUGACGGCCGAAAUUAGAAAGGUGUGUGAGAAGUAAAAAUCAUGUAUGGAUAUCACACCCCUUAGCGCAAAUGUGUAAAAAAAAAAAUUAGAAUUUUAUAUGUGCGUUUCUUGAUUAAAAAAAUAACUUUUAUAUGCACAUAAGCGCAUGUAAAAAAACUAAUAAUAUUAUUAUUAGAUGACAUUGGAUUAAUAAAAUGAGAUGCUCGUAACGGUGAAUCGGCUCUUGCAGGUUGCAGCUGUAUGUACACUAUUGCAAUCUGCCAAUCACAGCCGUUGGGUGAGUAGGAGUAAGGAUGAUUAGGAUCGACGUGGGGCUAGGAUAUGAGGAUGUAGAAUAACACGACUACUACACACGUGGGAUAGACUGCCUUUUAAUUAACAAGCGUACAAUGGAGAGGAACGUGGGGUGGGGAAUGCGGGGACCAUGAAGGAAUGGGCAACGAAGUGGAGCGGUGGCGCCCACCAUGGCAUUCGGUUGGUCUGUCUUAUUGGGUAUUACAUCAUCAUCGUCAUCUUCCUGGACGGAUAUUGGUGGGAGAAUCGAGACUUCAUAGUAUGAUUUUCUCUUUUUCUUUCUUCUAUUCUCUUUUUUCUAAUUUAAUACAAUUAAUAUGCGUUAACAUCUUAUUUUAAACUAGCC